GUCUAUGGCCCAACCACCCAAAUGCACCCAGCACCCAAUCUAAUCUUAAAGCUAAUCAGGGUCAGGCCAGGUUAGUUCUUGGAUGGGAAAUUGUCUGGGAAUACCAUGUGCUAUUCUCC
rnacentral:rRNA from 1 species